CCUACGGGAGGCAGCAGUGGGGAAUUUUGCACAAUGGGGGCAACCCUGAUGCAGCGACGCCGCGUGAGUGAAGAAGUAUUUCGGUACGUAAAGCUCUAUCAGCAGGGAAGAAAAAAAGUCCUUUGGACUUUGGACGGUACCUGACUAAGAAGCCCCGGCUAACUACGUGCCAGCAGCCGCGGUAAUACGUAAGGGGCAAGCUUUAUCCGGAUUUACUGGGUGUAAAGGGAGCGGAGACGGCAGCGCAAGUCUGGAGUGAAAUGCCGGGGCCCAACCCCGGAGCUGCUUUGGAAACUGGGCAGAUGGAGUGCAGGAGAGGUAAGCGGAAUUCCGAGUGUAGCGGUGAAAUGCGUAGAUAUUAGGAGGAACACCAGUGGCGAAGGCGGCUUACUGGACUGUAACUGACGUUGAGGCUCGAAAGCGUGGGGAGCAAACAGGAUUAGAUACCCUAGUAGUC
rnacentral:rRNA from 1 species